rnacentral:rRNA from 1 species
AUCAUUAUUGUAACAACUGGGAGGACGCGAGAGGGCUGUCGCUGACCCUUUAAACCGGGGGUCGUGCACGCCCGAAGUGUCAUCCUCACACAAUCCACCUCACCUUUGUGCACCACCGCGUGGGUUCCCUCCGGAAAAGGGGCUUGCGUUUUCCACAUGAACCCAGUGUAGAAUGUCUUUUUGCUUUUUAUUGCAAUCAAUACAACUUUCAACAACGGAUCUCUUGGCUCUCGCAUCGAUGAAGAACGCAGCGAAAUGCGAUAUGUAAUGUGAAUUGCAGAAUUCAGUGAAUCAUCGAAUCUUUGAACGCACCUUGCGCCCCUUGGCAUUCCGAGGGGCACACCCGUUUGAGUGUCGUGAAAUCCUCAACCUUCUUUGUUUCUUUGAACUGAGAAGGCUUGGAAUUUGGAGGCUUAUGCUGGCCUCUUUCUUGAAGCCAGCUCCUCUUAAAUGGAUUAGCAGGUUCUGCUUAGCCAGAUCCCUUGACGUGAUAAGCCAUUUCUAUGUCCUGGGUUGGGCUCUGUCUCUUGCUUACAAUCGUCUCUUUCGAGACUACACGAAUACCCCCUUGACCUCAAAUCGGGUGAGACUACCCGCUGAACUUAAGCAUAUCAAUAAGCGGAGGAAAAGAAACUAACAAGGAUUCCCCUAGUAACUGCGAGUGAAGCGGGAAAAGCUCAAAUUUAAAAUCUGGUGGUCUUUGGCCAUCCGAGUUGUAAUUUAGAGAAGUGUCUUUCGCGUCGGACCGUGCACAAGUCUCCUGGAAUGGAGCGUCAUAGAGGGUGAGAAUCCCGUCUUUGGCAUGGACUCCUGAUGCUUUUGUAAGGCGCUCUCAAAGAGUCGAGUUGUUUGGGAAUGCAGCUCAAAAUGGGUGGUGAACUCCAUCUAAAGCUAAAUAUUGGCGAGAGACCGAUAGCGAACAAGUACCGUGAGGGAAAGAUGAAAAGCACUUUGGAAAGAGAGUGAAACAGUACGUGAAAUUGUUGAAAGGGAAACACUUGAAGUCAGUCGCGUUGACCGAGACUCAGCCUUGCCUCGGCUUGGUGUACUUCUCGAUUGACGGGCCAGCAUCAAUUUUGUCCUUCGGAUAAUGGCAGGGGAAAGGUGGCACCCUUAUGGGUGUGUUAUAGUCUUCUGUCGCAUGCGAGGGGUGGGAUUGAGGAACUCAGCACGCGCCUUCGGGUGUCGGGGCUUCGGCUCACCGU